AUGGCCGGGAUUAUGAGAUGAUUUGAAACUUAAGAAAUCUGGGGCCCGAUUAUUUAUGGUCUAACGGGUACGAAUGUGAAACGGAGAAAGUAGAGUAGGGGGGGGUGUCCUCCUCGUGGAAUGGCCUGUUAACCGUGUAUACAAUCACAACAACAGAGAGCUUCGGAUCGCCAAUUUUUUCCCGCCCUAACCGCGCGGCCAAACCUUCCAUGCUCGUUCGUUUAAUGAGGGCUGAGUGGGACAACCUGGCGUACUUACGACAACGGAUCGGUAGGUCCUGGCUUCGGUGAAGAAGCAAUAAAAUGGAAUUAGUAAUGUGAAAUUGAAAUUUUAGUGAUGAGCAAGCUUUGAGCGCAAUUGCGACCGUUGGUGUUGAAAGGGACAGGCCUGUUGAGCCUGAUAUCACCACUCAACCCUAGCUUGGUGUUGGGCCGGGCGGACCACGGCCCUUAAAAUGAGUGGCGGUGCCCUGUGGCUCUAAGCGAUGUAAUUAUCUAACUAUUGGGGGCGGUGGUUGCGUGCCAACAAGACCCAACUUCAAGGUUGACCGCGGAUCAGGUAGGGAUACCCGCUGAUCUUAUGCAUAUCUUAAGUGGAUGA
rnacentral:rRNA from 1 species